GACGAACGCUGGCGGCGUGCCUAAUACAUGCAAGUCGAGCGGACCGAAUGGAAGCUUGCUUCUGUUCGGUUAGCGGCGGGCGGGUGAGUAACACGUGGGUAACCUGCCCGUAAGACCGGGAUAACUCCGGGAAACCGGGGCUAAUACCGGAUAACACCGAAGACCGCAUGGUCUUUGGUUGAGAGGUGGCUUUUGCUACCACUUAAGGAUGGGCCCGAGGCGCAUUAGCUAGUUGGUGAGGUAACGGCUCACCAAGGCGACGAUGCGUAGCCGGCCUGAGAGGGUGACCGGCCACACUGGGACUGAGACACGGCCCAGACUCCUACGGGAGGCAGCAGUAGGGAAUCUUCCGCAAUGGACGAAAGUCUGACGGAGCGACGCCGCGUGAGCGAAGAAGGUCUUCGGAUCGUAAAGCUCUGUUGUUAGGGAAGAAGAAGUACCGUUCGAAUAGGGCGGUACGGUGACGGUACCUAACGAGAAAGCCCCGGCUAACUACGUGCCAGCCGCCGCGGUAAGAC
rnacentral:rRNA from 1 species